AGAAGAGCUUAAUCUCUUACCCAGUUGAGGCCAAGGGUGGUUCUGGUACCUCCUCCUCUCUUGCUCCCCUCACCUGCCUGCUGGGUGUGAGAUUUCCUCUGGGAUCCCUCCUCCAUGGCCUUCUCCGUCUCACCCAUCACAUCACAACCAGGCAGAGGGGGCUGUCACGAACACAUCAUCCAUCCAACACUGAUGUGAGGGUAUCUCAAGUGCUUGCAAAUUUUGGGGUUUUGUUCUUCCUGCAGAUGAAAUGGCUUUCUUCAUAAAAGCUUCCAUUGUUCUUUGGAAAAUACCUGUGUGGAGAGCUUUUGCUCAGUCUGCCUUUUGUACUUCAGCAGGCUCCCAUCACUCCUGCAGGGUGUCAGAGCCAUGAGUGUGGGGCACAAGAGAGGAGCCCGUGCACAUUAUCCAGCAUGUUGUGGGCAGGAGACCAAAGGCUGGCUCAGCUUGGAGAAGCACUUCAAACCACAGCACCUACCUGUGUUCAACCUGCUUUGAUGCCCAGUUGGACCAGCAAUCAGCACAGUGGUGUGGCCUAAGGAUAGAAGCAAUGUCCUUUGGGUAAAGGGAGCUGUGAAUAAAGUCUAUAAUUCCUUGAGACCUCCAGAACUGGUUCCUCUGUGUGAAGUCACCAGUUCUGAUGCUGUCACUAGGCUGAAGAUUGGACAUGUUGGCACAUCUGUACUUCAAUCAAACUUCCACACAGCUGGGUCAAGCUCUCAGCCUGGAACUGAGGAUGAUGGAUUGAAAGCUGCCAGCUUGCUAAUGAGGCAGCCUCGCCUCGGGGAGGGGAAAUCUGGGCAAACAGGUACAACUGCAAGAGGAGACAGCUGCAAUCAAAGCAUCUUCUCUGAGGACCUGGUAGUCCUGGGGGUGAAAGGAUCCAGCUGCGAGCACUUCUCAGCUCUGUGCAGUCAGUACAGGGCAGCUGCAGGGCCCAGGGAAUUCCCUCUGCAUUUCCCAGGGCAUCAUGGAUAGACCCUGCACAGCUGUUAAAAUGUGCCCUGCUGCUGGGGAUUUGCAUCUACCUGCAAAUUUCCUUGCAGCAGGAAGAGUUUUGUGCGUACACAUGGAACAAAACAAAAUAAAACCAAAAUUGAGCGAGAGAGAAAGAAAGGCAACACGAAAAAAACAGGCAAACAGAGAAAGAUAGUGGCAAAUGUCACUGUUCAACAAAGCUCAGUUUGAAUGAAGGUCAAUGAAGCUGGUUGGCAAUUAGCCUUUGGCUGUGUGAAGAAAGCACUUUUGACUAGUUCUUGAAUUAUUCUGCAGAGGUUGGUGUUAUAUAUACUCCCAAAGUCCUCCUAUGCCACCCAGCUUGCAAGCAUAAAGCCAGGAAAAAAUUUUACUUUUUGCCAGUUGGCUAUAUAAUUUUCAGUGGCCAAAAGCCAACUAGUUGCUAAUUGUUAUUGCAGUGAAACUGAAAACAAAGCUCUUGGUAUGAAUACUUGGACUGUUUGUUAUAUUCCCUCUUGAAAUUCUCCAGGAAUUGCCACGAACUGCAGCUCACACUCCCAGCUCCCAAAAAGGAUGAGCUGGGUGCCUGUGUCUGCACACAGCACCUGGUCUGCAGCCUUGCUGAAUACUUUCCAAAGGCUUUCUACAGGUGAGAUUAGCUGUCUGCUAAGAAAUUGUUAUUUAUGUACUGUGCAUGCUUAGAGUAUUUUCCAAAAAUCGAGUGUUUGCAGAUCCAUGGAGGCCUCAGCAAAUGUGUGUGAUGGGAGAGAGCUGGUGAAAGGUGAAAUUGUUUUCAAUAGUAAGGGAGAUAAGUCACAUCUAUUUGUUAUUAUUUGUGGAAGAAACUCCUGAGGCAAGGAACAAGUCUUUGCUGGGUAUUUGUGCAGCAGCCAGUACAACCGAGUGCUAAGCCACGACAGGGGAAAGAGGGCACUUCCAUAAUUCAAUAAAU